rnacentral:misc_RNA from 1 species
UAAACUUAAACUAAAAUAAUAACAAAUCUGAUACUAGUAAAAUUCCUAAACAAUAGAAACUUUAAAUUUCCUAAUUCUGAAAUUACUAUAAUUCCUAACUUCAAUCCUUUUCUAAUACUGCAUCGGUAUGCCAUAUUAAACUGGUCGUGAUUCUUUAAAAGUAACAUAAGACCAUUGUUAAUAGCCUAUAUCGGUUUGGAAUUGGAAUAAUGUACUACUCCUUAUAAAAUCUUGGACACUUCUUCCUUGAGUUAGCUUUUGGAGAUGAGUUAGACACCGCCUAUUUUGUUAAGAUGGUAUCAGAGCUUCCUCAAUCGAUGUUAGGCGUCACAAAAGUGUUUCAUGCUCCAAGUGUUCGGUUUUGGACGUGAGACGAGUGUGUUAAUAUCCCACAUCAGUUUGGGAUAAAUGUGCCCCUUACAAAGCCUUGGGUACUCUUCUCUUCCUUUAGCUAGCUUUUGAAGGUGAGUUAGACCCAGUCCAUUUUCUUAAAAACCAUAAUAUCUCUCUGCAUCCAGAGACAACUGGACUUCCUUGACUCCUACAUACACAAUGAGAAAUGAAUCCUUACAAGCAUGGUUAUAAAUUAUUGCGUUAAUAUUUGCAUUGUGCAUCCUGUUUCUACUUUCCAAUGGUUUUGCUACUUCUGUUUAGGGUACUUAAACAAUGUAAGUGGAGUUGCUCUGCCAUAAAAUGAAGAACAACUCCUUCUAUAGAAGAAUUCUCUCACUUCAUCUACCUGUGAAAUGUGCAUUUGAACUACCUUGCUGUUGACAUUGCACUUCAUAGCAUAUUAUGAAGUGCUAGCCUUCUACAGGAAUUUAUCCAGGAUAUUGGUUAUCAAUGAUAUGCCUUUUUCGCCCCACCAUUUGACAAAGCUAAUACUGAUAUUUGGCUGACUCAGGUGGUGAGAAUUGAAGGUGCAA